rnacentral:sRNA from 1 species
AAACUAUAUUAAAAAUUAUGUUUCACUAUUCUUGACAUUUUUUUGUCUUUUAGUUUAGAUUAAUAAUUAAUUCUUGUUCAUCUUUUGAACUAUACCUGUGAACGAGUAUUUUUUCAAAAUUAGAUGGACGUGGGUUCAAUUCCCAUCAGCUCCA